rnacentral:rRNA from 1 species
UGGGGAAUAUUGCACAAUGGAGGAAACUCUGAUGCAGCGACGCCGCGUGAAUGAUGAAGGCCUUCGGGUUGUAAAGUUCUGUCCUUGGGGAAGAUAAUGACGGUACCCAAGGAGGAAGCCCCGGCUAACUACGUGCCAGCAGCCGCGGUAAUACGUAGGGGGCGAGCGUUGUCCGGAAUUAUUGGGCGUAAAGGGUUCGCAGGCGGUCUGAUAAGUCAGAUGUGAAAGGCGUAGGCUCAACCUACGUAAG